rnacentral:snoRNA from 1 species
ACCUUCUUUAUAAAGUUCUGUAAUAAAAUUGACUAAAACCAGGUUUUAUCUUGGUUUUGUUGAUGAUGCUAGCAGAGAAUAAAAUGGAAGAAAAUUAUAUGCACUGUAUUGGAAAUGAGGCGAGGGUCGGGCCUCUUUCUUAAUGCCCAUUGACCUUCUGCUCAAAAUCCAGUGCCACAUUG